AUGAAUACGCCUCACACAGCAGCGGUGGGCUGAUGAAACAGUCUUGCGGGUGUUUGAAAGUUCACAGCAGUGGUUCAUCUUGAAAAACGAUGAACCUCCGGCCCAUCUGUCUCCAUUGAAGUUAUUUCCCAUAAUGCCUCUGUCCCUCAGAGCGGGAGCCGCUGACAGAGACAGAGGAAAGGCCAUUUUUCUCUCCACUUCCUGCAAAUGUCAUCAUCAGUCCAUCAAAGUCAGCCUAUGAUUGACGGCUUCAUCGACCAAUGAGAGACCCGUCUGCUUUUGUGUAUUUAACCUGCGAUCAGCACAUUUGGCCGAGCUGACGGUGUCAUCCUGAACUGUUAGCUUCCCCUGCGGCAUCGCUGUGAAUCAAUAAACCCUCUGACCCCGGAGCCCAAGGAAUCAUCCGUCUGACCCUGUUAAAAUCUACUGGACAGAGAGAAAGAACCAGACUGAAAGAGAAAUGUAUAAAGUGAAGCAGCAGCAGCCUCAGGCUCUUCAGCGCUGCUAAAGACAGAGAAACACUGACCUACAUCAACAUCUGCAGGAAAUCUGAUAGAUCAAUAUUACAUGGUUAGUC